GAUGAACGCUGGCGGCGUGCCUAAUACAUGCAAGUCGAGCGAACAGACGAGGAGCUUGCUCCUCUGACGUUAGCGGCGGACGGGUGAGUAACACGUGGAUAACCUACCUAUAAGACUGGGAUAACUUCGGGAAACCGGAGCUAAUACCGGAUAAUAUAUUGAACCGCAUGGUUCAAUAGUGAAAGACGGUUUUGCUGUCACUUAUAGAUGGAUCCGCGCUGCAUUAGCUAGUUGGUAAGGUAACGGCUUACCAAGGCGACGAUGCGUAGCCGACCUGAGAGGGUGAUCGGCCACACUGGAACUGAAACACGGUCCAGACUCCUACGGGAGGCAGCAGUAGGGAAUCUUCCGCAAUGGGCGAAAGCCUGACGGAGCAACGCCGCGUGAGUGAUGAAGGUCUUCGGAUCGUAAAACUCUGUUAUUAGGGAAGAACAAAUGUGUAAGUAACUAUGCACGUCUUGACGGUACCUAAUCAGAAAGCCACGGCUAACUACGUG
rnacentral:rRNA from 1 species